GGCGUAGCGGUUAAGUGCGCACAUUCCGCUUUGGCGGCCCGGGGUUGGCUGGUUUGGAUCCCGGGUGCACACAUAGCACCACUCGUCAAGCCACACAUAAAGUGGUAGGCGUCCCACACAUAAAGUGGAGGAAGAUGGGCACAGACGUUAGCUCAGGGCCAGUCCUCCUCGGCAAAAAAGAGGAGGAUUGGUAGCAGUUAGCUCAGGGCUAAUCUUCCUCAAAAAAAAAAAAAAGAGACUGAAGAGGACACACAGAUGAAGGCCAUGUGACGCUGGACAGAGAGAUUGGAGUGAUACAGUUACAAGCCAGGGAAUGCCAAGGAUUGUGAGCAGCUGCCGGGAGCCAGGAAGGGGCCAGGAAGGAUUCUCCCUUAGGAGCUUCGGAGAGGAGGAAACUGAGGCAGGCACAGUUUCGCUCACAAAGCAGCUAUGGGAUGCAAGCACCUAGCAGCUGUGUUGCAGCUUUCAAGAGGCAGAGCCCGUUCCCCAAGCAACGUGCGGUGGAGCAUCAGUGGUGCUGAGUGCCAGCUGAAUGCCCCCAGCAGCUCUGUGAGCCAGCGCCCAGCAAAUGACCGGAGAAAGCGGAAGGCGACGCUGGCAGGAGCUGGUGUCCGAAAACGUCAGGAAUGGAGGGAUGGACAGCAGCAAAUGAAAAGGAGGAUGAACAGAACAUCUGACAGCAGCAUCUUUGCGUCGCUGGGUGUGCUGCCUUUUCCUCAGCCUUCUUCCCCAAGACAAAGCCCAUUUGUGUCCUGCUCAUCUGCCUCUUUGCUCCUAGUAUCUCUCUAAGGAUGACUCAGGGGCCCUGCUGAGCCAAGGAAUUUCUGCAGGCUGGCAUGGCAGCCAUUUGAUCCCUGUGGCAAUAGAAUGCAGAUAGAGGAAGGCGUGUGUGAGUGGAGAGAGAAGGCAAUGAGGCCUCUGUCUACAGGUUUCCAAGAAAGGCAGAAGCUUGUUUCACGCCACACAAAGGGCUGGCUGACCCAGAUAGAUUGAAAUCUUGAGAUUGCUUGCAUAUCCAUUCUAGUAGGCUCCAUCACCCAUCCCAUUAACAGCAGGAGCUACACAGAAGCAUGGAACGUGACUGAAUUGUUGCUACCUGCUGAAAUGGGUUCUAAGAAGGGCCAUUUUGUAUUCUCAAGAU
rnacentral:lncRNA from 1 species